ACACCACUAGAGGGAUAUCUUCAACCACCAACUUACCAUCCUGAGACAAGGCCGAGUAUAGCCCACAAAGAUCUCCGCCACGGCACAACCCAAGGGGGGCGCCAACCCAGACAGGAAGAUCACAUCAGUGACUCAACCCACUCAAGUGACGCACCCCUCCUAAGGACGGCAUGAAAGGGCACCAGUAAGCCAGUGACUCAGCCCCUGUAAUAGGGUUAGAGGCAGAGAAUCCCAGUGGAAAGAGGGGAACCGGCCAGGCAGAGACAGCAAGGGCGGUUCGUUGCUCCAGAGCCUUUCCGUUCACCUUCACACUCCAGGGCCAGACUACACUCACUCAUAUGACCCACUGAAGAGAUGAGUCUUCAGUAAAGACUUAAAGGUUGAGACCGAGUUUGCGUCUCUCACAUGGGUAGGCAGACCAUUUCAUAAAAAUUGAGCUCUAUAGGAGAAAGUCCUGCCUCCAGAUGUUUGCUUAGAAAUUCUAGGGACAAUUAGGAGGCCUGCGUCUUGUGACCGUAGCGUACGUGUAGGUAUGUACGGCAGGACCAAAUCAGAGAGAUAGGUAGAAGAAAGCCCAAGUAAUGCUUUGUAGCAAGCCCAUGUAAUGCUUUGUAGGUUAGCAGUAAAACCUUGAAAUCAGCCAUUUCCUUGACAGGAAGCCAGUGUAGGGAGGCUAGCACUGGAGUAAUAUGAUCAAUUGUUUUGGUUCUAGUCAGGAUUUUUGAAAUCCCUGCAAACCACCAAUAAAGAAGGUGAUUGCGCUGACGACUCCCUACCCCGGGGACCUAUCAACAGGGGCACAACAGGCGCAGAUGGAGGGUUUUGUCUUGGAAAACCAAGUGUUCAGGGUAAGGGAUAUGCUCAGCCUAAUCAGCCUAAUCCAAGCCAAUUUGGCUACGUACACCCUGUGAGUGUACUUACCCGGGGCACGCCCUAUCAUGUUAAAGUACGUACAGUCCAUGAUGAGACGGGAAGUGGUAUAUAUUAAUAACCCCCCCCAAAAGUUUGUUUCCAAUGUAAGGGUAAGAAUCCAAGCCUAAAAAGACUAAAGGAGCCACAGGUCAAGGAGGGAGUGUCGCGAAUGAGCCUGGUCAAUAUGACCUGAUGAGUCCUCCAGCCCGCUGACAGGACUCUGGUAACACUGAAACAAGGAAGAAUAAGAAGAAGCUUAAGAAGGACAAGAAGAACACCCAACCACAAGCAGCUAGAGAGCAGCAUAAACGCAGGGAGGUGAUGGGUGCGAGGAGACUGUAUGAAGAUGUACCUCUGCUGGAGGGCAGAGGUUCAUUUAUGUGGCAACACCCCUGUCGAACUCAGGCCCUGGGUUAGAGCUGGUGGAGCUGCCGAAUGAAACAUGGGCCAUGAACAGAUGACACCGUGGAUUGCCGUAACAUAUGAAGGAAACAAUGUGUUACAAAAGUCUGUGUAGAUAUCACGUGUCAAGGAGACAAUGUGUUAUGUAACUUUGCUUAAAUGUCAUGUGCAAGGGGGAUGAUGUCUUGUGUCUAGUCAAGGGCUUGGACAAAAUGUAUAAAUACCAAUGUAAAAGAUAGGGACAGAGCAGAAGCUGAUUGAUGUAUUAGAAGAGUGAAGACUUUGGGGCAAGAUCACAUCUUUUGGACUGGCUGGAGGAAUGACCACCAAGGAGACUGUGUGGAGAACACUAACACAACUCCUGGCACUGUUUUUGUCACAAGGUGCCAACAUCAACGCUCAGAUAGAGGAGACAGUAAUCAGUGAUGGUCUAACAUGUGUUGAGUCAUACUGCUUUUUUAAAUAACUUUGCAUGGGUGAGUUGGAUUAAUGGAUGGUCCAUUGUGUGUCUACAACGGUCUCCACACUGACAGGAAAAGACAUGCACUGCUGUGAAGGAUCCUGCCUGACCCAAAUGCUUCAAAUGGCACAGUUACUGGCACAGGCUGUCUGUUUGACAGGCAUUUAUCAAAAGGAAACCACCAGAACACUAUCCCUAAAAACAGUGAAUAAAGUGAUUGUUUGAUUGAACCCGUUUUAUCAUAGACUAAUUACAUGUAGACUACAUAUUUUGUUACCCUUUCCUGAUAUAAUUUCAUAAAUCCUGACUGCUAGCUCUAGUUUAGACUUGUCUGGCACAAACACUUGUAGCUGAAUGCAUUGCUAAUACCGCCAUUCCCAUCCUGUUUCAUUUUAUGUAUCUCAUUAAUAAUUUACAUAAACGUCUUUGUGUGCUG